rnacentral:lncRNA from 1 species
UGGGGGUUUAUCCGUCGGCAGGACUUGGGAACGUUGGGGAGGCUUGGCCGUCGGAGAGGUUCGGACGUCGGUAUAAUCCCGGGAGGGUCACUCCUGACACGAACUUCGGCUGGGGGUAUUUUAUACCCAACAGGUAAGAUAGAAUUUUAGAUAAGUUUGAAGUCCUAGUUUACUUGAUAGUCAUGAUAUCUAAUGUGGAAAGUAAGUCAUAUUUAUAAAUAGA